AUCUGCUUAGUAUACAAGUAUAUUUGACUUCCAAUCAAAAGGUUUGAACUUUCUCAAAGUAGAUA
rnacentral:tRNA from 1 species